rnacentral:rRNA from 1 species
GACAGAGGCCCCGAGCGUUAGGCGGAAUCACUGGGCUUAAAGCGUGUGUAGGCGGAUCGUUAAGUGUCUUGUGAAAUCCCACGGCUCACCCGUGGAACCGCUGGGCAUACUGGCGAUCUUGGGCCGUUCAGGGGCAACUGGAACAAGCGGUGGAGCGGUGAAAUGCGCAGAUAUCAGGAGGAACACCAAUGGCGAAAGCAGCUCGCUGGGACGGUACUGACGCUGAGACGCGAAAGCGUGGGGAGCAAACAGG